rnacentral:snoRNA from 1 species
CCCUCCCACCCUGAGCCUGGCAUGUCUAUAGUUAUUUGUAUUUGGACGUGUAAGAAUUGGAGGCAUUAAAAUGUGAAUGUGAAGAUGUCUGGAACCAAUCUAUUCCCCCACAA